UACGGAGGGUGCAAGCGUUGUUCGGAAUCACUGGGCGUAAAGCGCGUGUAGGCGGUCCGCUAAGUCUGAUGUGAAAGCCCGGGGCUCACCCCCGGAAGGGCAUUGGAAACUGGCGAACUCGAGUCCCGGAGAGGAGGGUGGAAUUCCUGGUGUAGCGGUGAAAUGCGUAGAUAUCAGGAGGAACACCGGUGGCGAAGGCGGCCCUCUGGACGGUGACUGACGCUGAGACGCGAAAGCGUGGGGAGCAAACAGG
rnacentral:rRNA from 1 species